GCUUAAAUAAACCUUCACUGACAAAUAUGUAGGUGCUUAAAAAGGGCUCUUCAUCUAAACAGGAAUUCUUCAAUAAAAAAGAAAAUAAAGAUGGGUGGAGGUCGAUCUAAAGUUAAACGCAGAGAAGUUCAUGUUACUAAAGACAUUUAUCAUUGUUGCAAUUGUGGAUGUGAAACCGAUGGUCAUUUCAGACACGGACGGGCAGUUUAUUGCCAACCGUGUUACAAUGUUGAAGCAGGAAAAAGGGCAGAUGCAGAAUCUACAAGGAAAAAAAAUGUUCAAGAUCGAUAUAAGGAGGCGGAGGAGAGAAUUCGAAUACAAAGAGAAGUGAAGGACAAAAAGAUGAAAGAAGAGCAGGCGGCAAUGGCAGUUCAGUAACGCCUCAAAGAACAUUUUAGUGCAUUGCAACAAACAAAUAAAAAAUAAUCAGAAGUCAUGAUCGCUUGUUUUUGUGACAUUGCAGCAAAUUGCAAUGUUCUGGGUCCCUGCUGUGUUUAAUAAUAAAUGUUGUGUUUUGUAAUGAACUGCAGGGUAUAAUAAUGAACUGCGAGGUUUAAUUAUGAAAGCUGUGUUUUAUAAUGAGCUGCUGUGUUUAAUAAUGAACUGCGAGGUUUAAUUAUGAAAGCUGUGUUUUAUAAUGAGCUGCUG